CUUUUGGUUGUUUACCAAAACCUGAAAUGGUUUUAAUUUAAUUAGAGAAGGCGACUUGACUCUUUUGCCCCUCAUCAUCUCUUUCACAUUCACGGGAGAUUUUUCACGGUCUUCUUUCUUUCACCGUGGCCAACAGGCCAAGCUCCUCACGGGUCCUCACCCGCCGCCAUGCUCCUCACCUGAGGUCUCCUCAUCCACGCCCAGGCUCCUCACCGCGCCCACGCCAGCAGGGGGCUUGCGCCAGCAGCCAGCGCUCUCCGGUCCCCGCACCACCGACUGCAGGCGGUGGUUGUUCGAUUGCCGCCCCGAAGCUCUGCACCAUCGCCACCGUCGACGCCCUCCACGUUGGCUGCUCCUCCUACAACAGGUUACAUAAGAAAAGGAAAAAGGUAGUUAUCGGAUGGAGUCCAUCUCAAUUGAUGAUUUCCAUGGCAUUGAUGAUGAGCCUUUAGCAAUAGUAGAAGCUCAUGUUCGACAUGAUCAACCACUAGCUGCUAUUGACUGGGACACACUACAUAUUUUUGAUAGUACAUAUGAAGAAGGAAGGAUAGAAAUAGUUGAUGAUAACCAAAUGUAUGUGCUAUUGGGGCUAAGAGAUGAGGAUGAGGCUGCUGAUAAGGGUAGUGAAACUUUCGAGCAGGCAGACAAUGCACAUGCAGCUAGUGGCAAUGACACCUUUGUUGACAAUGACACUCUUGGUGCAGCCAUCCUUGUUAAUGAUGACAUACCAGGGGAGAGGGUGGUGGUGCAUGAUCCGGAUAAUCCUUGUAUGGAUAUUGGAACUGUGUACCCAAGCAUGCGUGAAUUUAGGUUAGCUAUGAGACAGUUUGCUAUAAAUGAAGAGUUUGAGCUGCAAAUCGUGAAAACUGACCCGAGUCGAUUUAUUGGUGAUUGCAAAGGGGAGGAUUGCCCGUGGCAUAUCGUGGGCCGUAGGCAACCCGAUGGGAAGACUGUUAUGGUGACAGUGUUACUUGAUGAACACAAUUGUACCUCCAGCGCUAGAAGAAAGACCACUACACCUACUAGUGCAUGGGUGGCAUCAAAGGCUAUUCAUCUGUUAAAGAAUUCAGCCAUGGGAACUAAAGAUUUAAGGAUUAGGUUGGAAGAAAAAUACAAGUGUGAAAUACCUUAUGACACUGUUUGGAAGGGAAGACAACUAGCACUGAAAGAGUUGCAUGGCAGCUGGGAAGAAAGCUUUCAGAUGCUAUUCAAUUGGAGAGCAGAGGUUUUGAGUCGGUCUCCAGAGAGUGUCAUCGAGGUUGACAUUAAAGAGGUGGAUGGCAAGGUAUAUUUUCAUAGGUUUUUUUGUGCAUUGGGUCCUUGCAUUAAAGGUUUUUUAGAGGGUUGCAGGCCAUAUCUAAGUAUAGACUCUACAACACUUAAUGGUAGGUGGAAUGGGCAUAUGGCUGCAGCAACUGCUAUAGAUGGUCACAAUUGGAUGUACCCAGUAGCCUUUGGAUUCAUAGAUGGUGAAACUGAAGAUAAUUGGGUCUGGUUCAUGAGUCAAAUGAAAAGGGCCAUAGGAGAUCUCCCUUUGCUUGCUGUGUGCACAGAUGCAUGUAAAGGACUCGAAAAGGCAGUUAAGCUUGUUUUCCCUUAUGCUGAACAAAGAGAAUGCUUUAGACAUCUCAUGCAGAAUUUUGUAAAAAGAUUUGGUGGUGACAUCUUCUCCAAUAUGUACCCUGCAGCCAGAGCUUAUAGGCCAGGAGUCAGCCAGUACUUUUACAAUCAAGUUGUGGAAGCUUCAGAGGAUGCAAAGAAGUGGCUAGAAAUGUACCAUAAUUUGAAGUGGAAAAGGAGUGAGUUUAACCCUGCCAUUAAGUGUGAUUAUAUCACCAACAACCUAGCUGAAGUUUUCAACAAUUGGGUUAAAGAUUGGAAAGACCUUCCAGUUGUUGAGCUUGCAGACAAGUGUAGAGAGCUGAUAAUGAUUUUAUGGCAAAAAAGAAGAAGGAUUGUAGAGAGCUGAUAGUGUGGAUGUGGAGCUGGAGGAUUUUGUGCAUGAUUUUUAUUCAGUUCAGAGGUUCAAAAAUGCAUACAAGAGAAUUAUAGAGCCAAUGCCAGAUAAGUCUCAGUGGCCACAUGUGGACCUACCAUUUGCUGUUGCUGCACCACUAGACAAGAGAGGUAGAGGAAGGUACAAAAAACUCAGAAUCAAGAGUUGUCUUGAAGGUGGGAAUAGCAAGAGCAAGAAGGCUGCUGCAGAAAAAGGAAAAGAGGCUGACAAAGAGGCAGCUAAUGAAGUUGACAUGCAGGCUGAAAACCAAACUGAAAAAGGCAAGAAGAAGAUGAUAAGAGGGAAGAGAAGGUGCAAAAAAUGUGGAGAACUAGGCCACGGUGAAACCAGCUAUAAGUGUCCAUUAAAUGGAACAAAGAAAAGGAAGAGAAAGCCUCGGAAGAACACAACUAAGUAUGGGGAGAAUGCCAAAGUGCCAACGCAAAAGAAGUCAAAAGAAUGUGCUGCUGUCCAAGAAAUGGAGGAAGGUGCUGCUGUCCAAGAAAUGGAGGAAGUUGCUGCUAUCCAAGAAAUGGAGGAAGGUGCUGCUGUUCAGAACCCAACUAAGCCUACAAUGGAAACAAUUAUAAAUGAUAGCCCAAUUAGGGUCACCAGAAGUCGACUUGCAAUGCUAUUGGGAGUUGGUCCAACCUCACAGGAAGGUCUGCCAUCAGCAUCAGACAAGAUGACAACUCCUACAAAGCUAACACCUAGGAAACUGAGAUGCUGAUAUGUGAAAUCAGCUAGUAUUUAUUAGUAGCAUGUAUCUGAGAUGUGAACUGAACCACUAUUAGUAGCAUGUAUCUGAGAUGUGAACUCAACCACUAUUAGUAGCAUGUAUCUGAGAUGUGAACUCAACCACUAUUAUGUAUCUAAGAAAGUUUGAGAUGGCUACUUGCCUUUUCUCAUAUGGAGAGCCAUGUCUAUCUGA